GACGAACGCUGGCGGCAUGCCUAAUACAUGCAAGUCGAGCGAACAGAUGAAGUGCUUGCACUUCUGACGUUAGCGGCGAACGGGUGAGUAACACGUAAGGAAUCUACCUAUAAGCGGGGGAUAACAUUCGGAAACGGGUGCUAAUACCGCAUAAUAUCUUCUUCCGCAUGGAAGAAGAUUGAAAGACGGCUCUGCUGUCACUUAUAGAUGACCUUGCGGUGCAUUAGUUAGUUGGUGGGGUAACGGCCUACCAAGACGAUGAUGCAUAGCCGACCUGAGAGGGUGAUCGGCCACAUUGGGACUGAGACACGGCCCAAACUCCUACGGGAGGCAGCAGUAGGGAAUCUUCCGCAAUGGGCGAAAGCCUGACGGAGCAAUGCCGCGUGAGUGAAGAAGGCCUUCGGGUCGUAAAACUCUGUUAUAAGGGAAGAACAAAUUGUAGAGUAACUGCUACAGUCUUGACGGUAUCUUAUCAGAAAGCCACGGCUAACUACGUGCCAGCAGCCGCCGUAA
rnacentral:rRNA from 1 species